UGGGUGAUGACAAGAGAACUGCCAGGGCC
rnacentral:piRNA from 1 species